rnacentral:RNase_P_RNA from 1 species
AUACUCAUGUAAUCGCUGUGUACGAUACGUAUGCAGAGGAAAGUCCAUGCUCACACAAACUGAGAUGUUUGUAGUGUUCGUGCUUGAUGAAUUCAUAAGUCAAGGUAGCAAAAUUUUGCUAACGGCAGGAUUUGCUCCUAAGUUUGUUCGCAGAUAUGGAGCAAAACCUUGAAAGUGCCACAGUGACGUAGCUAAGUUGGAAACAACUUAGGUGGAACGAGGUAAACCCCACGAGUGAGCAACCCAAAUAAUGGUAGGGGCAUCCUUUAGUAGAGAAAUGAAUCGAACGAGGGACAAGUCUUUUUGGCUUGUAGAUAGAUGAUUGCAGCCGGAGUACGAGGUUGACCGCCGUUUGCAGUACGAGGGUACAGAACAUGGCUUAUCGAG